AGAGUUUGAUCCUGGCUCAGGACGAACGCUGGCGGCGUGCUUNAUACAUGCAAGUCAAGGAGAACNUNUUCUUCGGAAAAUUAUUAAACUGGCGAACGGGUGAGUAACGCGUAGGUAACCUGCCCUAGAGAUUGGGAUAACUUCGGGAAACCGGNGCUAAUACCGAAUAAUGCAGCGGNNCCUUCGGGNUACAGUUGUUAAAGCGGGCUUCGGCUCGCACUUUAGGAUGGGCCUGCGUCCGAUUAGCUUGUUGGUANGGUAANGGCNUACCAAGGCAAUGAUCGGUAGCUGGUCUGAGAGGAUGAUCAGCCACACUGGGAUUGAGAUACGGCCCAGACUCCUACGGGAGGCAGCAGUAGGGAAUUUUGCGCAAUGGGGGAAACCCUGACGCAGCAACGCCGCGUGACCGAUGAAGCUUCUAGGAGCGUAAAGGUCUGUCGUAAGGGAAGAAAAGUUUAGAUGUAAAUAAUGUUUGAACCUGACGGUACCUUACAAGAAAGCACCGGCUAACUUCGUGCCAGCAGCCGCGGUAAUACGAGGGGUGCAAGCGUUGUCCGGAAUCACUGGGCGUAAAGGGUCCGUAGGCGUCUCAANAAGUCAUUUGUUAAAUACACCGGCUUAACCGGUGANCUGCAUUUGAAACUGUUGAGAUAGAGUAUAGGAGAGGAAAGCGGAAUUCCUGGUGUAGCGGUGACAUGCGUAGAUAUCAGGAGGAACACCAAUGGCGAAGGCAGCUUUCUGGCUUAUUUCUGACGCUGAGGGACGAAAGCGUGGGGAGCGAACAGGAUUAGAUACCCUGGUAGUCCACGCCGUAAACGAUGAGUACUUGGUGUCGGNGGAUUCGACCCCUUCGGUACCGNAGCUAACGCAUUAAGUACUCCGCCUGGGAACUACGACCGCAAGGUUGAAACUCAAAGGAAU
rnacentral:rRNA from 1 species